UUUGUUUGAUGUGCACAGUAAUAUCAGCUGCAGUUGUAAAUUUUCCAUCCGUAACAGUGACAUUCAGGAGGUAUUGUCCCACGUCUAACCUUUUAUGUGCUAUUAGUUUGCCUCCAGUACUGGAAACAGAGAACAUGGAUUCCAUUUUGGGGUCCAGGCUAUAAGUCAAAGUAUCAUAAACAUCUUGGUCAGUUGCAUGAAUUUUUCCAAUGACACCACCUGAAUAUUCUUCGCCAAAGGCUGUAAUGAAGAUUUCUAGGGGCAGAAUUGCUGGAGGAUAAAUGCUUUCCUCAAUAACUCUAAUAUCAACAUAUGUCAGAGAUGACAACGGUGGCUUUCCAUUAUCUGUGACCUUAACAUGUAGUAAGUAGUGAUCCCUCAAUUUGCGAUUCAGAGCAGCAGUUGUUGUCAGUACUCCUUGAUGGUUAACCUGGAAAGUGUUCUCUUCAUUUCCGCUCAGAAUGGUGAAAAGAAAAGGAGGACCAUUGUGAGAAGAAUCCUUGUCUGUCACCACCAGUUGAAGCACACUAAAUCCAACAGGUUUAUUUUCCUGGAUGAUAAUGCUAUAGUUUCCUUUUGAGAAUACUGGAGGAUUGUCAUUUACAUCAGAAACAUCAAUGUUAACCGUGGUAGUGUUACGUCUAGGUGGGCUUCCAUUAUCUGAAGCUUGAACUGUCAAGGUAUAUCCUGAAAUCUUUUCUCGGUCCAGAAGCUUAGUCACUUUUAUUUCACCCCUUGAAGGGUCAAUUGUAAAAGGAUUUCCCUGAUUGCCAUCUGUAAUUGUGUAGUGAAUGUGGUUGUUUGAAGGUCCAUCAGCAUCAUCUGCCAUAACUGUAAUGACUGAUUGUUCAAGCACAGCAUCCUCACUGAUUACUGCAGUGUACGUGUCUUGGCUAAACACUGGAGUGUUGUCAUUGAUAUCUGUUACAUUAAUAUUCACUGUUACGACAUCACUUAAUGAAGGUGUGCCUCCGUCUGUGGCUUCUACUGUCAAGUAAUACUCAUGAGAACUUUCAUAAUCCAAGCUGUCAAUGAUAAAAAUGGCUCCUGUUGUUGAAUCAAUACUGAAUUUUCCAUGUUCAUUCCCACUGACUAUUGAGUAUGUGAUUUCAGCAUUGGCUUCAAUGUCCCUGCUUGCAGCAUGGAUCUGGAGAACUUCAGUCCCAACCACUGUGUCUUCUGAUACACUUGCACUGUACUCCCUAUACUCAAAUACAGGUGGAUUAUCGUUUAUAUCCAAAACGGAAACUAUAAGAUUACUUGUGGAAGACAGCCUUCGAGGUAAACCUUCAUCUGUAGCCCUCAAAGUCAGUGUGUACACAGCUUGCAACUCCCGAUCCAAAGGCUUCUCCAACCGGAUGAUUCCAGAGAAUUCAUCAAUAGAGAACUGGCCUUCUGCAGAGUUCACCAGCGAAUAAUGGAUUUUACGGUUCAUCCCCGCAUCUGCAUCUGUUGCUUGCACUCUCGUCAAAAGCGUUUUAGGCUCUGUGUUUUCAAAUACUGUAAUGGAGUAAGGAUCAACUGUAAACUCUGGGGCAUUAUCAUUCACGUCUUCUAGAGUCAGAAUAAUAUUAGCCUGGCAGAAUCUCCCUCCUCCAUCUGUGGCUUUCACUAGAAGGUAAUAAACUGCUUGCUGCUCACGGUCCAGUGGCAUUAAUGUUUUCAGUUCACCUGUGUCUGCAGUGAGUCUGAACUUCUCCGCUCCAGGGCCAUGUAAUGUGUAUGUAAUUUCUGCAUUGGAACGAAUAUCUGCAUCUGUAGCAGAUACCUGCAUUAUCAGUUUGCCAGGAAGGGCAUCCUCGGGAACAGUAUCAGUGUAUAAAGCCUUUUCACAUACAGGGCUAUUGUCAUUAGCAUCAAGCACUUUAACCUCCACCACAGCUCUAGUAGCAAAUGUUCCAUCAGUAGCUGUAAUAUUUAGAAGGUAAUGGUCCUUUUCUUCCCUGUCCAGGGGCUUUUUGACAUAAACUUUCCAUUCAUUCUGAAUAUUCUCAACAGCAAACUGUCCCAAGAGAUCACCUCCUAAAAUACAGAAGUAAACUUUUAAGUAAAAACAAGAGGGAGAAUGUUACUAUUA
rnacentral:lncRNA from 1 species